GACGAACGCUGGCGGCGUGCCUAAUACAUGCAAGUCGAACGAAGCUUUUUUAACUGGUGCUUGCACCGACUUAAACAACUGAGUGGCGAACGGGUGAGUAACACGUGGGUAACCUGCCCCAAAGCGGGGGAUAACAUUUGGAAACAGAUGCUAAUACCGCAUAACCACAGAAACCACAUGGUUUCUGUGUAAAAGAUGGUUUCGGCUAUCACUUUGGGAUGGACCUGCGGAGUAUUAGCUCGUUGGUAAGGUAAUGGCUUACCAAGGCAAUGAUACGUAGCCGAACUGAGAGGUUGAUCGGCCACAUUGGGACUGAGACACGGCCCAAACUCCUACGGGAGGCAGCAGUAGGGAAUCUUCCACAAAGGACGAGAGUCUGAUGGAGCAACGCCGCGUGAGUGAAGAAGGUUUUCGGAUCGUAAAACUCUGUUGUCAGAGAAGAACGUGUGCGAGAGUAACUGUUCGUGCAGUGACGGUAUCUGGCCAGAAAGCCACGGCUAACUUCGUGCCAGCCGCCGCAGUAA
rnacentral:rRNA from 1 species